UGCGCGCGGUAAUUUGACCGUGCAAAGGUAGCAUGUUUAUUAGUCUUUUAAUUGAAGGCUUGAAUGAACGAUUGGAUGAAAAAUUAACUUUAUUAAUGUAAAUUAUUUAAUUUAUCAUUUAAGUAAAAAUUCUUAAAUAUAUAAGUGGGACGAGAAGACCCUAUAGAGUUUAAAUUUUUUUUUUAUUAUAAAAUUUAAGAAUUUGUAUUUUUAUAAUAAAAUAUAAAGUUUUUGUUGGGGUGAUAUUAAAAAUUAUUGAACUUUUAAUUAAUAUUUCAUUAAUGUAUGUUAUGUUGAUCCAAAAUUUUUUGAUUAUAAGAUAAAAUUACCUUAGGGAUAACAGCGUUAUUAGUUUGGAAAGUUCAAAUCGAUAAAUU
rnacentral:rRNA from 1 species